rnacentral:lncRNA from 14 species
ACUGAGGUGAGCUGUCAAGGGAGUAAGGGAUGCUUUGGAAAGCAGUCUUAGUAGCUGGGGCUGCAUAUAGCAGCUUGCAGGCAGGAUGGUGGAGCUGCUGCCUGAUCUGUGGGGACAGCCGGUCUGUGCACCAGCCUUCCUCUUCAGCUACCCACCUUGCUCAUCCUGCAGCCUGAAUCAUCGCUUCUCUCCCAUGGAAAAUUUGAGUCUGUUACUAAAAUGAACCUUAAGGGUUAAUUCUUCCUUUUUUUCCAUGGUUCCUCUCCAAAAUGUGGGUGUGUUACCUUGUUUUCCCCUUGUGCUCCCUCCUUUUUUUCCCCCAAGCAGACCUUUGCUGACAUUUCAGUCCAUCCCCUCAGCCACAACUCUGGCAGCAUAUUUGCUCACCUAAAAAAAGAAGCCCUGCGAUGUGCAAACCCAGAGCAGCACAAGGAGCAGGUGAGAAUACAGCUUUCACAACAGUCUUCUGAACACCCAGACGAGUUGACUAAGGCUGUGAUCACUUUUCGGACAGGGAAGAAGUCUUGGGAUGUACCAUGGUAUCUAGUGAGAUCUCCCUCUCUGCCUGAAGGUAAAUGGGUCACGGCUGGGUGAGGAGUUUGGCUCCUUUUCCCACCGGUCUGACAGUUCUGUAACUGCUGCAUGCCAGCCCCCUCGCAUUCCCAGGCCUGCUCUUUCCUUAAAAGAAUACGUAAUUGGGUGAGGAGGGAAGGUUUUCAGACUCUCUCCUUCUCCUUUUUCGGGCAAACCCACAAGCUCUUGCAUUGAUCUUGAGCAUCUUGCCUGAGGAAAGCCAAGCUCACGUGUGGCACGGUGCAGGACAAGGAAGGGGAGCUGGAACCUCUUAGCAGCAGAUGAACUGCUUUAUGUUUUACAUUAAGUAAUGAAGGGCUAUAAACAAAUUAUAAUCAUUGUUGGAGGCUUUUGUGUGUUUCGGUUGAGGCUGGAUUCUCUCCAUAAGGGCAAGCACAGGCAAAAUACAGCAGCAGGAACAGACAGUCGUCACCGAAUCUGUCUGAGGGUGUGUCAAGCAGUGAGGCGAUGGGAGUAGCAGGAAAAAGCAGUAAGGAAACACUGAGGCUAGAACGCACUUGUGGGAUUAACCAGCUGGUAGCUGAACCUAUGUGCUUAUGGCUACAACCAUAGUGUGGGAUAGCUGCAACAGUUAGCUGAAUCUGUACUGAGUGAUUAAUAGAGAAUAGUCUGCGUAACAGCUUGGGAAUAUUUAUAUAACUGACAAUUCCUUAUAAAUAACCCCUAUUACUCUCAAAUACUAAGCUACCUUCCUUCAAGCCUAAUUGAAUGGACAUUAAAGAUGUUUAACUUAGUGUUUUCCCCAUAUAACUAGGGGAUAUUUUCAUCCUCUCAUUGUUUGGGGAGGCUGGAGGGGGAACUGAAUCAGCAUCUUCCACUUCUCCAAAGUGGUUUCUCUAGUUUAUAUAGUGUCUGGAGGCCAUAAAGAUUUUUCCCAGCAAAAAUGAAAGAGCUGUUGCUACAGCAAACAACUUGUUAAUUUUGCCUAUUUACUCAGGUCCUAGGAUACACUUUUAAAUAUGAAAGCAUGCGCUGCUUGUGAUGCAAGAGGUCACUAAUAAUGCUCAUACCCAUUAAUUACAAAUGUAUAAAUAAUAUGUAAUACAUCCUUGAUCUGGUAAUUGAACUGCAAUAAAAUAAAAAAACCCAAGAAGCCUGGUGUGAAA